rnacentral:rRNA from 1 species
UUACCACUUUGUGGUUCAUGACUGGGGUGAAGUCGUAACAAGGUAGCGCUAGGGGAACCUGGCGCUGGAUCACCUCCUUA